rnacentral:rRNA from 1 species
UACGUAGGGGGCAAGCGUUAUCCGGAUUUACUGGGUGUAAAGGGAGCGUAGACGGAGUGGCAAGUCUGAAGUGAAAACCCUGGGCUUAACCUGGGGACUGCUUUGGAAACUGUUAAUCUAGAGUGUUGGAGAGGUAAGUGGAAUUCCUGGUGUAGCGGUGAAAUGCGUAGAUAUCAGGAAGAACACCGGAGGCGAAGGCGGCUUACUGGACAAUAACUGACGUUGAGGCUCGAAAGCGUGGGGAUCAAACAGG